rnacentral:tRNA from 1 species
GUAGUUAUGCCCGAGUGGUCGAAGGGGGCGGACUGUAACUCCGCUAUAUCACACCUUGGUUCGAAUCCAAGUGGCUACACCA